rnacentral:rRNA from 1 species
AGAGUUUGAUCCUGGCUCAGGAUGAACGCUGGCGGCGUGCCUAACACAUGCAAGUCGAGCGAUUUACUUCGGUAAAGAGCGGCGGACGGGUGAGUAACGCGUGGGUAACCUGCCUCAUACACAUGGAUAACAUACCGAAAGGUAUGCUAAUACAAGAUGAUAUAAGAGAUUCGCAUGGAUUUCUUAUCAAAGCUCCGGCGGUAUGAGAUGGACCCGCGUCUGAUUAGCUAGUUGGUAAGGUAACGGCUUACCAAGGCGACGAUCAGUAGCCGACCUGAGAGGGUGAUCGGCCACAUUGGAACUGAGACACGGUCCAAACUCCUACGGGAGGCAGCAGUGGGGAAUAUUGCACAAUGGGCGAAAGCCUGAUGCAGCAACGCCGCGUGAGCGAUGAAGGCCUUCGGGUCGUAAAGCUCUGUCCUCAAGGAAGAUAGUGACGGUACUUGAGGAGGAAGCCCCGGCUAACUACGUGCCAGCAGCCGCGGUAAUACGUAGGGGGCUAGCGUUAUCCGGAUUUACUGGGCGUAAAGGGUGCGUAGGUGGUUUCUUAAGUCAGGAGUGAAAGGCUACGGCUCAACCGUAGUAAGCUCUUGAAACUGGGAAACUUGAGUGCAGGAGAGGAAAGUGGAAUUCCUAGUGUAGCGGUGAAAUGCGUAGAUAUUAGGAGGAACACCAGUAGCGAAGGCGGCUUUCUGGACUGUAACUGACACUGAGGCACGAAAGCGUGGGGAGCAAACAGGAUUAGAUACCCUGAUAGUCCACGCCGUAAACGAUGAGUACUAGGUGUCGGGGGUUACCCCCCUCGGUGCCGCAGCUAACGCAUUAAGUACUCCGCCUGGGGAGUACGCUCGCAAGAGUGAAACUCAAAGGAAUUGACGG